rnacentral:rRNA from 1 species
GAUGAACGCUGGCGGCGUGCCUAAUACAUGCAAGUCGAGCGAAGCGGGGACGGGUGAGUAACACGUGGAUAACCUCCUAUAAGACGGGGUUAACUUCGGGAAACCGGAGCUAAACCGGAAACUUCUAAGUGGAUCCGCGCUGCAGUAGCUAGUGGGUAAGGUAACGGCUUACCAAGGCAACGAUGCAUAGCCGACCUGAGAGGGUGAUCGGCCACACUGGAACUGAGACACGGUCCAGACUCCUACGGGAGGCAGCAGUAGGGAAUCUUGCGCAAUGGGCGAAAGCCUGACGGAGCAACGCCGCGUGAGUGAUGAAGGUCUUCGGAUCGUAAAGCUCUGUUAUUGGGGAAGCGGUACCUAAACAGAAAGCACCGGCUAACUACGUGCCAGCAGCCGCGGUAAUUC